UACUUUUUAGAAAUUAAUAAUGUAUUUCGUUUUUUAAUUAAAUUUAAUUAAUUAAAUUAGUAUUUGACUUUUUAAUUUUUAAAGAGAUGAAUUAAUUUACUCUUUAAAUUUUAUUUCUAAUGGCAUACCUAUGUAAUUACUUACAAAAAAUAAGGUUACAUUUAAAAUGUACUUUCCAAAUAAUAUAGUAGGAUUUACAAUAUUUGGAAAAAUAAUUAAUUUUUUUGACUGUCGCAAA
rnacentral:sRNA from 1 species